rfam:Sporomusa sp. An4 isolate Sporomusa ovata strain An4 genome assembly, contig: SPAN4DRAFT_scaffold-1
GGCGACAUAGCCAAGUGGUAAGGCAGAGGUCUGCAAAACCUCUAUUCCCCAGUUCAAAUCUGGGUGUCGCCU